rnacentral:siRNA from 1 species
ACGCCAUAACCUAAGAGUCCGA